rnacentral:rRNA from 1 species
AUUGAACGCUGGCGGCAGGCCUAACACAUGCAAGUCGAACGGUAACAGGAAACAGCUUGCUGUUUCGCUGACGAGUGGCGGACGGGUGAGUAAUGUCUGGGAAACUGCCUGAUGGAGGGGGAUAACUACUGGAAACGGUAGCUAAUACCGCAUAACGUCGCAAGACCAAAGAGGGGGACCUUCGGGCCUCUUGCCAUCAGAUGUGCCCAGAUGGGAUUAGCUAGUAGGUGGGGUAACGGCUCACCUAGGCGACGAUCCCUAGCUGGUCUGAGAGGAUGACCAGCCACACUGGAACUGAGGCACGGUCCAGACUCCUACGGGAGGCAGCAGUGGGGAAUAUUGCACAAUGGGCGCAAGCCUGAUGCAGCCAUGCCGCGUGUAUGAAGAAGGCCUUCGGGUUGUAAAGUACUUUCAGCGGGGAGGAAGGGAGUAAAGUUAAUACCUUUGCUCAUUGACGUUACCCGCAGAAGAAGCACCGGCUAACUCCGUG